rnacentral:lncRNA from 10 species
CUGCUGUGCCCAGGAGGACUGUGCCCAGUGCAGGGGAAAAAGAUGAAGCUGCGGAGUUGGGCAAGGGUGGGAUCCUGCAGGGCCUUAGAGCAUUGACAUGUUUGGCAUGGAUUUGUUUCACAGGGUCCCACAGAAACUUCUGCUCUCCAGGUUUGCCCCUCCACUCUGCCCUCCAGGAUAGAAGUGUGGCAUCCUAAUCUGGGAUGCAUCCAUCUCUCCCCCUGGACUGUGAGCAUAUGCAGGGCAGAGACACCUCUGCUUCUCUUGGGUCUCCGGCAUCCUGUGCAGGAUGGGGCCACUGAGGUGCAAAGAGUUUAACUUAUCCCAAGUCACACAGUUUGGAAGAGGCUGAGCUGGUAUUUGAACCCAGGUUUUCAGAGGCUGCACUCUUAACCACCAAGCUUCCCAGCACUCAGCAAACACUGGAAAGACAGAGAUGGACCUAGACAGUCAGUAGGACCAAAAGUCUGCAGGCCGAUAGGGAAAGAAUGUAAGAGGACGGCAUGGGCAGCGCCAGCCCCUCCAGCAGUCAUAUAUUAAGCCCUGGACACUGGGCAGCUCGGGCAGGUCGGGGGGCCUCAGACUCUCGGACCCCAUGCCUGGAAGACCACGGUCUGCCCAACAAGCAGCAGCUGCUGUGAAUCGACUUACACAUCUUCCCCACAGGUGAGCAGAGAGCUAACACCUGAGGAUAGGCCAAGAAACGGGAAGCCCGUGCAACCUGAGCGCACAGAUCACCCCCACCUGCCCGGCACUCACUGUCCCCAGUGGCUGGACUCUCAUCGGGCCAGUCACUGAGCUGGCGCCAGCCUGGUCUCACCAGUGUGUGUCUUUAAAUCAUCCAAUUUCUUCAGCUGUAAAUUGGGCUGGGAGGGGCCAGGUGAGCUGCCUGCCUCAGGGGAGUCGGCGCCCUUACCUGAGUGAUCCCAUUCACUCCUCACAACAAACCCAUGAGGCAGGGAUUGUCAUCUUCAUUGUACAGAGCAGGAAAUGGGUGCACACAGAGGUUAAGAGACUUGCCCAGGUCACACAGCUAGGAAGAGGCUGUGAUUUGAACUCAGUCUUCUGGCUCCAAAGCCCCCACAGAGUCACUCAGGGCACUACAAAGAGUUAACCUGAAUAUGAAAUGAUCUAAGAGUCGCAGUGACAAAGGCAUGCUCUAAGCGCUUUUCCUGCAGUAACUUGCUUAAUCCUUACAACAACCCUAUAAAGUGGGUACUGUUCUCGCCUCAUUUUGCAGAUGAGGAAACUGAGGCACAGAGCAGCUCGGAGGGGGCAGAGCUGAAUCUGACAGGCUACAGGGCCCCUGCGUUGCUUUGUUAUAAGAUGACAAUAAGGAAGUUCCUUUCCUUUGGGAUUAUUUCUGCCUGAAAGCUCAAGACUUUUAGCCACAUCAUUGUCUGGGCUCCACGGGAAGGCAGUGCCACAUGCUGAGGCAUGCUGGGAAAAGACUUUGUUCCAUCCUGUUUUGUUGACAUGCUCUUCAUUUUUAAGCCUGAAACCGAAGCUUCCUGCUAAGAAUUCAAACCAUGGAGAAAAACGCAGCCAUGAUAACGGCCACUACUUCCUGAGCCUCCAGUGUUCCCUGUGCUUGGGGAUCCAUAUAUGUCACUUAACCUUAACCUUCACAACACCAGGGCAGCCUCCAUUUUCACAAGUGAAGAAAUGGAGGCCCAGAGUCACUUAGAAGAUGCUCGAAGGUGCACAGCUGCUAAGUGGUGGUGCUGGGAUUUGUCCUCAGGUCCUCAAGAGUCCUGACUCUUAUGUGCUGGCUCCCCACGGAGGCGUGGAGUCUUGUUUGCUGGGCAUUUGACAGAAAUGUUUCUGCUCAUCUUCUGCCACAGGUUGGUCCUUCAGCGUCAAGAUUCCUGGGCCACUUAUUAAUAGAAGGCACCAGGACACAGGUGCAGGGAUGCAGAGCUGGAUGCUGCCUUCUCAAUAGGAGAAGCCAAGAAACGCAGAUGCCGAUGCUUAAUCAACUCCGUCUCUCCCUCUAGUGACUCGGGGAUAGCUGCCCUGAUGCCAAGGCGAUUGUCUUCUGGAAGCAGCCACGCCGUGUGAGGUUCCUCAUCACUGCCCUGCAUCUCCCUGCGAGCUCUCGGGGAUAAUUGCAAAAUCACGUUUGAUUCCAGGGGAGCAGAAAGCAGCAGGAGCCGUGAAUUCUCCAACUCUUAACUGGUCCUCGACUGGAGCCACUUUUCCCUGCCCACCCAUCCCUGUGGCGGAUUCAUUACAGUUAUCCAAAGCCGGUUUUAACUUUGCUCCCCCUGGCUCAGAAGUCUGUCAGUGGGUCCUGAGCGGCUUCACCAUUCAAGUUUAUUCCUAUCAGCCUGGAAUACAAUGCUCUAUCUGGCUCCGCUUGCUUCUCCAAACCUUCUCUCCCAGGUCUCAUUCUGCCUCUCUGUCUAACUAGACAAGUUGGCUUCCUGUCCUGUGCCUGUCUGCUCCCUGCAGCAGGAAUGCCGUUCCCUCUUCCCUACAGAUUGAAAUUAUAUCCUCUUUCAAGUCUUACUCAAAUGCCACCUCCUCCACAAACUCUUAACACUUAUUCAUUCAUUCAACAAACAUUGACUGAGCCCUUAUGACAAGCAUUGAUCCCAAGGGUCCCUGUGGUCAUGAAGUUUAUGGUGCCAUGGAGCUGUUAGAAAAAGAAUCAUCACAUAAAUAAUCAUCUGAUAACAGCCAUGAUACAAAUUAGUAAGAAAGUGUGGCAGGAGCACAGCAGAUGUACAAUAGGGACCCUGAGCCUUGGGGAUCUAGGACAUUUGAGCUGAGGCCUGAAAGACAAGUAGGAAGUAACCACAUGGUGAAGUUGGAGGAGAGCUCCAGGCAGAGGGCACGGCAUGGGCAAAGGCCCUGCGGUAGGAGGGAACAAGUAGAUUUCCAGGAAGGGCACAGGGGCCUGCAGGGUAAUGUAAGUGAAAUGAGAAAGCUGGAGAUGCAGCUGGAGCAGGACAGUACAGGCCACAGAGGCUUUGCGACUUUAUCCCUGGGCAAAAAGAGGAGAUGAUGAAGGAUUCUGAGCACAGGACACAAGCCAGUAUGUAUUUAGACGCGAUCCUGCCCUGUGGCUGAGCCUCUUCUGAGAAGUGCAGGCCCUGUGUCACGUCACCCUGAACCUCAGUCAUCAGGGUUUUGGAUGUGAGUUUCCAUAUCCCUCUUCCUAGGCCAAGCUCUCAAAGGCAAGGCUGACCUCUGGUCUUCAGCUUCAUCCUCAUCAGCCAGGCCAGUGCCCAGCACAAGGAGCUGCUCCAAAAACAUACGUGGGUUGAACCAGUGACCAGGACAAGACGCUUAUCAGCAUUUCCCUGCGAAGGAGCAGGGCUGCCUGUAAAGCCUUCCACAUUCUCUAGAAAUUACAAAGUUCAAGGGUUUUAGUGAGGCCACGACUCAGGGAGCCCUUGAGAGCCAAGCUGGCAUCCCACUGCUGUGCACACCCAGCCUGGGCACACAGUAUGACCCUGCCCAGGCAUCUGCCUGCGGCCGUCUGGUGAAUGACCAGAAACAGAACCGAAAGCUCUGUAAAGUGCUCUCAAGGUUACAAAGCAUGUUUCACAGGAGCAGUUUCAUCUCACACGGGCAGCCCUCUGAGCUGGGUAGUUACUGCUUUACAGAUGAGGAAACUGAGGCCCGGGAGAGGGCGGGACCUCAGCAAAUCAAGAAAAAACUGAGACUAGGACCUAACGGAAGUCCAGGCUAUGAAUGGCCCCCGUAGGGUUAAAAGAGCUUUCUAGAAAUUUCUUUGAAAACUAUUGUAAAGUGACAUAUUUCCUCAGGAUGUCUGUCACGCCAGCAGUGGGAGCCAACACACCAACUCUCAGAGGCUGUUCCCCCUGCGCGGCAGAUCCAGACGCUCAGCUCCCAGGCCUGGAGGCUGGCGGCUUAGCCCAGGGCACAGGAGGAGGCUGCCUGGGUUUGGCGCUGACUUACAGCAGGUGCUGAGGGAAUGCUGAGGAGAGGCAAGGCUGAUUCAAGAGGCCGACAACAGAGAACAUUCCUAGAGCUCUCCCGCCAGCUAGGCAUGGUGCUAAGUGCAUUACCUGCGUCCACUCGUAACAUCCUCACAACACUGUGAAUACGAUGACCAUCCCCAUGUACAGGCGUGGACGCUAAGGCUCAGAGCAAUAAAUAAUUAGCCUGAGAUCACACGGCAGGUGAGUGCAGAGGCCGGAUCUGAACCCACACAUUGCCCUUAAGCAACCCCAUGUCCUGAGCAAAGGUGAGCAGAAACAUCUUGGGAAGAGGGAACCACGACUGUAUCUUCCUCAGCAGACAUGAUGGUGCAGGGUACCCCUUCCCCUGCCCACCUGACGACCAUUAUUCCCAUUAUCAGUAUAUCCCUCUGUGGGCAAAUGAUGACAGACAUGCAUGGUAACCACUUCUUCACAAGUUUUGUGUCUCCCCAGCCUCCUCCCCUAGGGCUCUCUAGGCUUCCUUUACCCGUCCUGCCUCAGAUGGACUCCCAGCAUCAUCAUCUGCCUCUGUGCCUUCUUGGUAGUAGGUGGGUGUGAAAAAGAAAGGAAGGGCCAGGUGCAGUGGCUCAUACCUGUAG